rnacentral:rRNA from 1 species
CUACGGGGGGCAGCAGUGGGGAAUAUUGCGCAAUGGGGGAAACCCUGACGCAGUGACGCCGUGUGAGUGAUGAAGGUUUUCGGAUCGUAAAGCUCUGUCAGACGGGAAGAAUAAGAACAGUAAAAAUAUUGCUGUUUGAUGACGGUACCGUCAGAGGAAGCACCGGCUAACUCCGUGCCAGCAGCCGCGGUAAUACGGAGGGUGCAAACGUGGUUCGGAAUUACUGGGCGUAAAGCGCAUGUAGGCGGAUAUGUAGGUCAGAUGUGAAAUCCCUUGGCUCAACCAAGGAAGUGCAUCUGAAACCCCAUAUCUCGAGUACGAGAGAGGGAAGUGGAAUUCCCAGUGUAGAGGUGAAAUUCAUAGAUAUUGGGAAGAACACCGGUGGCGAAGGCGGCUUUCUGGCUCGUAACUGACGCUGAGAUGCGAAAGCGUGGGGAGCAAACAGGAUUAGAUACCCGUGUAGUC